UCCGUAGGCGGACUAAUAAGUCAGGGGUGAAAUACCACAGCUCAACUGUGGAACUGCCUUUGAUACUGUUAGUCUUGAAUUAUAUGGAAGUAGAUAGAAUGUGUAGUGUAGCGGUGAAAUGCUUAGAGAUUACACAGAAUACCGAUUGCGAAGGCAGUCUACUACGUAUAUAUUGACGCUAAUGGACGAAAGCGUGGGGAGCGAACAGGAUUAGAUACCCUGGUAGUC
rnacentral:rRNA from 1 species